UUAAGCGACUAAGCGUACACGGUGGAUGCCCUGGCAGUCAGAGGCGAUGAAGGACGUGCUAAUCUGCGAAAAGCGCCGGCGAGGUGAUAUGAACCCUUGACCCGGCGAUGUCCGAAUGGGGAAACCCAGUGCAAUUCGUUGCACUAUCGUUAACUGAAUACAUAGGUUAACGAGGCGAACCGGGGGAACUGAAACAUCUAAGUACCCCGAGGAAAAGAAAUCAACCGAGAUUCCCCCAGUAGCGGCGAGCGAACGGGGAGCAGCCCGGAGUCUGAAUCAGCUUGUGUGUUAGUGGAACGGUCUGGAAAGUCCGACGGUACAGGGUGAUAGUCCCGUACACGAAAGCACACAUGCUGUGAACUCGAAGAGUAGGGCGGGACACGUGGUAUCCUGUCUGAAUAUGGGGGGACCAUCCUCCAAGGCUAAAUACUCCUGACUGACCGAUAGUGAACCAGUACCGUGAGGGAAAGGCGAAAAGAACCCCGGCGAGGGGAGUGAAAAAGAACCUGAAACCGUGUACGUACAAGCAGUGGGAGCCUCUUUAUGGGGUGACUGCGUACCUUUUGUAUAAUGGGUCAGCGACUUAUAUUCUGUAGCAAGGUUAACCGUAUAGGGGAGCCGAAGGGAAACCGAGUCUUAACUGGGCGUUAAGUUGCAGGGUAUAGACCCGAAACCCGGUGAUCUAGCCAUGGGCAGGUUGAAGGUUGGGUAACACUAACUGGAGGACCGAACCGACUAAUGUUGAAAAAUUAGCGGAUGACCUGUGGCUGGGGGUGAAAGGCCAAUCAAACCGGGAGAUAGCUGGUUCUCCCCGAAAGCUAUUUAGGUAGCGCCUCGUGAACUCAUCUUCGGGGGUAGAGCACUGUUUCGGCUAGGGGGCCAUCCCGGCUUACCAACCCGAUGCAAACUACGAAUACCGAAGAAUGUUAUCACGGGAGACACACGGCGGGUGCUAACGUCCGUCGUGAAGAGGGAAACAACCCAGACCGCCAGCUAAGGUCCCAAAGUCAUGGUUAAGUGGGAAACGAUGUGGGAAGGCACAGACAGCCAGGAUGUUGGCUUAGAAGCAGCCAUCAUUUAAAGAAAGCGUAAUAGCUCACUGGUCGAGUCGGCCUGCGCGGAAGAUGUAACGGGGCUAAACCAUGCACCGAAGCUGCGGCAGCGACACUAUGUGUUGUUGGGUAGGGGAGCGUUCUGUAAGCCGUUGAAGGUGUGCUGUGAGGCAUGCUGGAGGUAUCAGAAGUGCGAAUGCUGACAUAAGUAACGAUAAAGCGGGUGAAAAGCCCGCUCGCCGGAAGACCAAGGGUUCCUGUCCAACGUUAAUCGGGGCAGGGUGAGUCGACCCCUAAGGCGAGGCCGAAAGGCGUAGUCGAUGGGAAACAGGUUAAUAUUCCUGUACUUGGUGUUACUGCGAAGGGGGGACGGAGAAGGCUAUGUCAGCCGGGCGACGGUUGUCCCGGUUUAAGCAUGUAGGCGGAGGUUCCAGGUAAAUCCGGUACCUUUUUAACGCUGAGGUGUGAUGACGAGGCACUACGGUGCUGAAGUGAUAAAUGCCCUGCUUCCAGGAAAAGCCUCUAAGCAUCAGGUAACACGAAAUCGUACCCCAAACCGACACAGGUGGUCAGGUAGAGAAUACCAAGGCGCUUGAGAGAACUCGGGUGAAGGAACUAGGCAAAAUGGUGCCGUAACUUCGGGAGAAGGCACGCUGAUGUGUAGGUGAAGCCCCUGCGGGCGGAGCUGAAAUCAGUCGAAGAUACCAGCUGGCUGCAACUGUUUAUUAAAAACACAGCACUGUGCAAACACGAAAGUGGACGUAUACGGUGUGACGCCUGCCCGGUGCCGGAAGGUUAAUUGAUGGGGUUAGCGGCAACGCGAAGCUCUUGAUCGAAGCCCCGGUAAACGGCGGCCGUAACUAUAACGGUCCUAAGGUAGCGAAAUUCCUUGUCGGGUAAGUUCCGACCUGCACGAAUGGCGUAAUGAUGGCCAGGCUGUCUCCACCCGAGACUCAGUGAAAUUGAACUCGCUGUGAAGAUGCAGUGUACCCGCGGCAAGACGGAAAGACCCCGUGAACCUUUACUAUAGCUUGACACUGAACACUGGUCCUUGAUGUGUAGGAUAGGUGGGAGGCUUUGAAGCGUGGACGCCAGUCUGCGUGGAGCCGACCUUGAAAUACCACCCUUUAAUGGCUGGUGUUCUAACGUAGACCCGUAAUCCGGGUUGCGGACAGUGUCUGGUGGGUAGUUUGACUGGGGCGGUCUCCUCCCAAAGAGUAACGGAGGAGCACGAAGGUUGGCUAAUCCUGGUCGGACAUCAGGAGGUUAGUGCAAUGGCAUAAGCCAGCUUGACUGCGAGCGUGACGGCGCGAGCAGGUGCGAAAGCAGGUCAUAGUGAUCCGGUGGUUCUGAAUGGAAGGGCCAUCGCUCAACGGAUAAAAGGUACUCCGGGGAUAACAGGCUGAUACCGCCCAAGAGUUCAUAUCGACGGCGGUGUUUGGCACCUCGAUGUCGGCUCAUCACAUCCUGGGGCUGAAGUAGGUCCCAAGGGUAUGGCUGUUCGCCAUUUAAAGUGGUACGCGAGCUGGGUUUAGAACGUCGUGAGACAGUUCGGUCCCUAUCUGCCGUGGGCGCUGGAGAAUUGAGGGGGGCUGCUCCUAGUACGAGAGGACCGGAGUGGACGCAUCACUGGUGUUCGGGUUGUCAUGCCAAUGGCACUGCCCGGUAGCUAAAUGCGGAAGAGAUAAGUGCUGAAAGCAUCUAAGCACGAAACUUGCCCCGAGAUGAGUUCUCCCUGAGACUUUAAGUCUCCUGAAGGAACGUUGAAGACGACGACGUUGAUAGGUCGGGUGUGUAAGCGCAGCGAUGCGUUGAGCUAACCGAUACUAAUGAACCGUGAGGCUUAACCUU
rnacentral:rRNA from 1 species